rnacentral:lncRNA from 1 species
AUUCAUAAUCUGGCUAAAUAUUUUUUCCUAUAUGGAAGUUCAGUCAUAUCCACAAGAGCCCACAUCGACAAGCUGUCCAUCAUCUACCUGUGUGUGUGUCUACAUCGACAAGCUGUCCAUCAUCUACCUGUGUGUGUGUCUACAUCGACAAGCUGUCCAUCAUCUACCUGUGUGUGUGUGUCUACAUCGACAAGCUGUCCAUAUCUACCUGUGGUGGGUGCUCGAACUUCCAUCAUCACCUGGGUGUGUUCUCAAUCGACAAGCUGUCCUAUCUACCUGUGUGUGUGGUGCUCUAACAUCGACAAGCGUCCAUCAUCUACCUGUGUGUGUGUCUACAUCGACAAGCUGUCCAUCAUCUACCUGUGUUGUGUGUCUCACAUCGACAAGCUGUCCAUCAUCUACCUGUGUGUGUGUGUGUCUACAUCGACAAGCUGUCCAUCAUCUACCUGUGUGUGUGUGUGUCUACAUCGACAAGCUGUCCAUCAUCUACCUGUGUGUGGUGUCUACAUCGACAAGCCCCAUCAUCUACUGGGUGUGUGGUUCCUACAUCGACAGCUGUCCAUCAUCUACCUGUGUGUGUGUCUACAUCGACAAGCUGUCCAUCAUUCUACCUGUGGUGUCUACAUCGACAAGCUGCCCAUCAUCUACCUGUGUGUGUGUGUGUCUACACAACAAGCUGUCCAUCAUCUACCUGUGUGUGUGCUACAAUCGACAAGCUGUCCAUCAUCUACCUGUGUGUCUCUACAUCGACAAGCUGUCCAUCAUCUACCUGUUGGUGUUCUACCUACAUCGACUAAGCGUGUCCAUCAUCUACCUGUGUGUGUGGGCUACAUCGACAAGCUGUCCAUCAUCUACAUGGGGUGUGUGUCUACAUCGACAAGCUGUCCAUCAUCUACCUGUGUGGUGUGGUCGUACAAUCGACAAGCUGUCCAUCAUCUACCUGUGGGUGGCUACACAUCGACAAGCGUCCAUCAUCUACCUGUGUGUGUCCUACAUCGACAAGCUGUCCAUCAUCUACCUGGGUGUGUGUCUACACGAAACUGUCCAUCACUACCUGGGUGUGUUCUACACAUCGACAAGCUGUCCAUCAUCUACCUGUGUGUGUGUGUCUACACAUCGACAAGCUGUCCAUCAUCUACCUGUGUGUGUGUGUCUACAUCGACAAGCUGUCCAUCAUCUACCUGUGUGGUGUGUCUACAUCGACAAGCUGUCCAUCAUCUACCUGUGUGUGUCGUACAACGACAGCUGCCAUCAUCUACCUUGUGUGUGGGUCUACAAUCGACAAGCUGCCCAUCAUCUACCUGUGUGUGUGUGUCUACAUCGACAAGCGGUCCUCAUCACCUGUGUGUGUGUGGCGACAAUCGACAAGCUGUCCAUCAUCUACUGU